rnacentral:lncRNA from 1 species
UGAAACGGUUGACGAUGAAGAUGAUAGUGAUAGUGAUAGUGAUAGUGAUGAUACGGAAAUAUCGAACGAGUCGGAAGAGUCGAAAGAUGCUGAUCAUGGUCAGAAAAAAAAAAUUAUGAUGCUAAGUGAAAACCAUUAUCAACAACAUGGUCAUAAUCUGAAUGACCAAAGUAUUAACACAAAAAAUGAUAGUGAUAGUAGAAGUAGAAGUAGAAGUAGACGUAGAAGUAGAAGUGGUCACACAGAGGAUACUCAGCGAAAAAAAAAAAAAAAAAAAAAAUUAUACAUGAAUAGCGAAAUAAAAAGUAUUAGUGAUAGUUCCAGUAACAGUUGCAAAAUUUAUAAAGUUAUUAAAAAACAAAUAAAUGAUAAUGCUGAUGAUAACAAAACAGGUAGUAAUUGUAGUAAAAAAAAAAUGAGAAAUGAGUCCAGGAGUGUUAGUGGUAGUAGUGGUGGUAGUAGUGGUAGUGGUAGUGGUAGUGGUAGUGGUAGUAGUGUUAGUGGUAGUAGUGGUAGUAACGGUAGUAGUAGUAGUAACGGUAGUAGUAGUAGUAGUAGUAGUAGUAGUAGUAGUAGUAGUAGCAACGGUAGUAGUAGCAGUAACGAAGAACAAAUGGGUGAAGAAUACAUACUUCUUGACAACGUUAAUAAACAAAGUAAAGGAAAUUCAACUACAAUAAUAACAGAUGACAGUUCAGGUGUAUCCACACUGUAUUCUUUUUUAAGUGAAUAUAGUAGUGCAUAUGAAAGUGAGGAAGAUGAAAAUAAUACACGAACAGUUAUGAAGAGUCCGAACAAAGGGGCCAUGUUAAGCUACGACAAUACAACAAAUAAUAUGCCAAAAAAAACAAACAAACAAAAAAAAAAAAAAAAAAUAAUCGAUUUAAGUGUUAUAGAAAAUAUAUAUUACGAAGAGGAGUUUAGUGUUGAUUCGAGUAGUAUAAAAAAUGAAGUUGAUUAUUUGGAUAAAUACAAUCGUGGUUUUGUUUUUGGACAUGUUGGUAGGAACAGAAAUAAAAGUAACUAUACCAGCGGUUACAAACAUAAUCACAGCCAUAAAAAUAAGAACAUAAAAAAAGAAAUUGAAAAAAUUAAAGAAGAGAUAAAAGAAUUAAAGGAGAGUCGAAAAAAAUACGUAAAAAAAAUAAGAAAAACAAACGAACAAAUUUUAUUAAUAAUAUGUAACGAAAAAAUGAUAAAAAAUAUAUUAAAAUGUAUGAACAGUACAAAUUAUAAAAUAAAGGUGUAUGCUUGUAUAAUUCUUUCAUAUAUUCCGAAUAUAAAUGAAUGGGUAGAUACUGGUUCUAGUAACACUUGCAAUGACACGCGUAACGAACUGCACAACGAAAUGCAUAAAGAAAUGGUCAACGAAAACGCCACUGUACAAAUUCAUAACAACAGUUUAAUAACAAGUCCUGACAAGUUUAAUAAUAGUAUAAGUAUACCUAGAACUGAAAAUGAUAAUACGACUUUUAAUAAUAAGUGUAUACCAAAGGGUAAUACUGUUGAUGAUUAUAACAAUUAUUACUUUGAUGGUGGUAGUAGUAAUAUAUUGAGUAAUAACCAACAACACCAAACACAAUAUCAACAUAUACCAAAUUGGAACAGCACAAGUGACAAGAAUUCUAUGUACACGUUAAAAAAUAACAAUAAAAAUAAUAAUAUUCCAAUAAAAAAAGCAAACAAGAACUUCAUAUGCAGUGUGAAAAACGAUUAUGAUAACUACAUGUAUAAAUGCUGUGUUAUAAACACAUUACUAUAUUAUUUAUUAAACCAAACUAUGUUCUAUAAAAAUAUAUUAGCACAUGUAAAAAAAUAUAUUUCAAACCAAUAUCAUGUUGCUUUUUUUAAAGAAUACGAACUGAGAGGCAGGUGUUUGAUUAAUAUUAUAAAUUAUCGUAAAUUUACAAAAAGUAAGAAAAAACAACGUGAAAAACAAUGUGAAAAACAAUGUGAAAAACAAUGUGAAAAUCAACGUGAAAAUCAACGCGAAAAACAAACCAUGAUUUGUAAUGGAUUUAUAGGUGAUAGGUAUGGCCUGCGUAACCAACCCGGGGGAAGUCAAUCUAAGCAGGACCAAACCAUGGGUCAACUUUCUGACGAAUCAAACCAUGUUGAAACUUUAAUAUGCUAUACAAACAAAAAAAAUAAAUAUUUGGUGCAAACAAAUGAAAGCAACUACAAGUGUGAGGUAUAUUAUAAAUAUAAUAAUAAUAAUAAUAAUAACAAUAGUAAUAACAAUAGUAGUAGUAAUAAUAAUAACAAUAAUAAUAACAAUAGUAGUAGUAAUAAUAAUAACAAUAAUAAUAACAAUAAUAAUAACAAUAGUAAUAGUAAUAAUACCCAUUGGGAAUCUGGAAACAAACAUAAACGCAACUAUACUGAUGAGCAUCCACUUCAUUUAGAUAAUAAAAAAAAUGAUUAUGACAAUUUCAACCAUUUGAAUAGAAAAAUGAAUUAUGACAGUUACGAUAUAACAUAUGUUACUAACAACAUGAAUGAGUAUAAUGGUAUAAACAGAGAAGUUGGUAGUAAUGGGCACAUAUCGCUAGAAAGAGGAGUAAACAGUUUAGUAGUAGUAGAACAAGGAGGGGGGGGGGUGGUACCAUAUAAUAAACAACAAUAUGGUAAAUACAAACAAACAGAAUAUAGUAAAGAUAUUAUAAUAGAAGAACAUAUUAAGUGCAUGUUUGGAUAUAUAAUGCAAUUAAACAGAUUUGGAAUUUUAAAUGAUAUGAUUGUAAAAUUAUAUACAAAUUUAUGUAAGAAACUAAAACAUGUAGAUGUUGAAUUUUUAUUUUUGAUUUUAAAAACGAAAAUUGAAGAAGGAAGAAAAUAUGAAAGAAAUAUUAAUUUAUUGAAGGACGAAUAUGAAAAUGUAAAUACAGUAUAUAACGACUUUAUUCAUUUACAAUACGAGUUUAAUAAAGAAAUAAGUAUAAUAAAUGGUUUGUAUGAAGAAGUAAACGAAAUUGAUAAAAGAAAAAAAAAAAUCGAAAAAAAAUAUAAUGUCAUUCAUUCUGAAGUAUGUAAAUAUAGAAAAAAUUUAAUACAAAUUGAAAAAAUGAUAGAAGAUGUACCAUCUAUAAUAAAAUGUAUAAAAAGUGAAUUAGAUAAAAUAAAAAUGGAUAUUCAAUUAUUAAAAAAAGAUAAAAAAAAAUUAUCAUUAUAUAUUUUAUUAUAUAAAAUAUAUUUGGAUAAUCAUAAUUAUAUGAUAAAUAAAUUAAAAAAUAAAAAAAUUAUUUUAGAUAAUUUGCAAUUGUUAUCAAAUGAAUUUGACAACAACAAUGGUUUAAUCAAAAAUGAAAUAGUUUGUGCUAUUCAUAAUGACUUAUGUUUGUUAAAGUCUAUAAAUGACAUAUUAAAUGUAAACAUUUAUAACGAAAAUUUAAAUUUUUUAGUAAAAAAAGCAAACUAUUUGAUAGGAACAAAUUAUUAUGAUCAUAAUAAUUAUACAAUUUUUAAUGAAAAUAAAUUAUUAAUUGUUUUAAAAAAAAACACAAAUAUGGAUUCCAAAAGUAAUAUUAAUCUUCUUAAAAUAAAUAAUGUUUUGCAACAAAAAUAUAAACAUUACUUUGGUGACUUUGAAAGCAUUAAUACUAAUGAUAAAUACGAUAAUAAUAAUAAUAGGGUUUAUAAUAAUAGAGUUUAUAAUAAUAGGGUUUAUAGUAAGGACACGAAUAAAUCCAAUUUUGUAGCACUAAAAGAACAAGAAAAGUUACAAGAAACGUUUACAAAAAAAAAUACUAGUCGUAGUAGUAGUAUUAUCAUCAAAAGACACAGCAGUUAUAGCAGUAGCGACGAUGGUAAUAUUGUUAAGAAGAGGGAUGAUACGCAUGGCAACGAACGUAACAUGCAACACCAUGAACAGUACAAACUAAAUGAUCACAAAAACAAUUACAACAACAGUAGUAAUGGUAAAGAAAGUCAAGUAUAUUAUACAAAUGACAACCGUCCUGGUUAUAAUGACAACCGUCCUGGUUAUAAUGACAACCGUUCUGGUUAUAAUGACAACCGUUCUGGUUAUAAUGACAACCGUUCUGGUUAUAAUGACAACCACCCUAGCUAUAAUGACAACCACCCUAGCUAUAAUGACAACCACCCUAGCUAUAAUGACAACCACCCUAGCUAUAAUGACAACCACCCUAGCUAUAAUGACAACCAUUCUAGUUAUAAUGACAACCACCCUAGCUAUAAUGACAAUAUAAAUGGUUCUUACAUAAAAGAUAUGUCCCAGAGAAGUAAACAUAACACUAAUAGUAAAAGAUGUGUUACUAUAAAUAAUAAUGAAAAUAACAAACUAGAUGAAAUGUAUACUGAUAAUUAUUAUGAUAGCAACACAUCUGACUCAAAAAAUGAAGAUGAGAAUGAUUAUUGUGAUGAAGACAAUGAAUUAAUUAAAAACCGAAUUAAAACCUUUAACAGUUUUAUUAAUAGUAAUAUAAAAGAUGUAUCUAAAAGUGAUAUAGAAAUUAAUAACGAAACGAUAAAUAAAGAUAUGUUUUUUAAAAUAGUUAAUAUAAUAAAAAAAAGAGAAAAAGAAAUGGAAACUUUUACUAAUUCUCAGAAAAAUAAUGAAAUAUAUAAAAGCAUACACAAAUUUAAUAUGCUUUUGAAUAAAUGCAAUACGCAAAUUGACAUUUAUAAAAAGCGUUAUAGAAAUUUAAAGCAGGAUAUACAUAAUAUUAAUAGUGCCAAUAUGGUGAAAAAGUCAGAGUCUAUGUAUAAAUCCAUACGAGAACUUGACGAUACUAUAGAGGCAUUGAGCAAAGAUGUGAAACUAGUGGAAGACGAAAGAGACGAAAAAGAACAAGAAAUAGCUAUACAGAGAAAAAGAAUUGAAAAAAAAGAAUACGAAAAAAAUAAAAAGAAAGAAGAACUACGUAUAUUAGUAACCAAAAUGUAUAGUCAUAAUACCAAAAUAAAAAAAAUAUAUGAAAAGGAACAAAAAAUUGUAUUAAUAUUG